UACAGAGGGGGCAAGCGUUAUUCGGAAUUACUGGGCGUAAAGCGUGCGCAGGCGGUUAUAUAAGACAGAUGUGAAAUCCCCGGGCUCAACCUGGGAACUGCAUUAGUGACUGUAUAGCUAGAGUGCGGCAGAGGGGGAUGGAAUUCCGCGUGUAGCAGUGAAAUGCGUAGAUAUGCGGAGGAACACCGAUGGCGAAGGCAAUCCCCUGGGCCUGCACUGACGCUCAUGCACGAAAGCGUGGGGAGCAAACAGG
rnacentral:rRNA from 1 species